rnacentral:rRNA from 1 species
GACGAACGCUGGCGGCGUGCCUAAUACAUGCAAGUCGAGCGGAUCUUCAUUAGCUUGCUUUUGAAGAUCAGCGGCGGACGGGUGAGUAACACGUGGGCAACCUGCCUGUAAGACUGGGAUAACUUCGGGAAACCGGAGCUAAUACCGGAUAAUCCUUUUCCUCUCAUGAGAAAAAGCUGAAAGACGGUUUCGGCUGUCACUUACAGCUGGGCCCGCGGCGCAUUAGCUAGUUGGUGAGGUAACGGCUCACCAAGGCGACGAUGCGUAGCCGACCUGAGAGGGGGAUAGGCCACACUGGGACCGAGACACGGUCCAGACUCCUACGGGAGGUAGCAGCUAAGAAUCUUCCGCAAUGGGGGAGACCCUGACGGAGCGACGCCGCGUGGACGAUGGAGGCCGUAAGGUUGUAAAGUCCUUUUCCUGGUGAAGAAUGACCGUGGGAGUGGAAAGCCCAUGGGAUGACGUUAGCCAGGGAAUAAGCCCCGGCCAAUUACGUGCCAGCCGCCGCAGUAAAAC